rnacentral:rRNA from 1 species
AGUGAACGCUGGCGGUAGGCCUAACACAUGCAAGUCGAACGGCAGCACAGUAAGAGCUUGCUCUUACGGGUGGCGAGUGGCGGACGGGUGAGGAAUACAUCGGAAUCUACUUUUUCGUGGGGGAUAACGUAGGGAAACUUACGCUAAUACCGCAUACGACCUACGGGUGAAAGCAGGGGAUCUUCGGACCUUGCGCGAUUGAAUGAGCCGAUGUCGGAUUAGCUAGUUGGCGGGGUAAAGGCCCACCAAGGCGACGAUCCGUAGCUGGUCUGAGAGGAUGAUCAGCCACACUGGAACUGGGACACGGUCCAGACUCCUACGGCAGGCAGCAGUGGGGAAUAUUGGACAAUGGGCGCAAGCCUGAUCCAGCCAUACCGCGUGGGUGAAGAAGGCCUUCGGGUCGUAAAGCCCUUCUGUUGGGAAAGAAAAGCAGCAGGUUAAUACCCCGCUGUUCUGACGGUACCCAAAGAAUAAGCACCGGCUAACUUCGUG